rnacentral:lncRNA from 1 species
UUUUCCUUCAUUUUGGGCUAUUGUAUGCUCCGGUGUUGUCACACUUUCCCCUUAGAUUCUUGUUAUUGUUAAAGUUGAUAUUACUCCAUAGAGUUGUCUUGGAGGUGUGUUACUUUGUGAAGGCAAAGUCAACUAGUUAAUUACCAGAUAAUGUGGUAGUCGACAGGUUUGGACAAAAAGAUAUCAGCAGGAAUGUCUAUCUUAUUGCAAGAUAGAAGAAUAAAAAAUUUCAUUCUUUGAAUUAUGAGCAGUGAGUUUAGAAGCUUAAACAUUUCAUAUAGUUAAAAUAUGUUAAGUCUAAUCCCUGAAACAAAUAGAGAGUUUUAUCGUAGCAAAUGUAUAGCUAAUAUAUAGCUUCACAUUCUAUAUGAUUUAUUUUUGCAGUGGUCAUAAAACAGAACAUUACAACAUAUGAAAAAUCAUAUUGUGUUACAGAUUCUACUUUUUAUUUACUCUUAUGAAUUUCUUUUCUCUCUUUUACACAGGUAUAAAAGGUGAGAAUUGAAUCAAGACUAAUGCAAGACAAGUAUCACCAUAUUAUUGAUACUUUGGAAGAAAUUUCUACUUUUCUGUCUUGGUUUAGGAGUAAUAUUUCUUCUAUUUCAGUUAGAUUUUCUUGUUAUUGGACAUAUUUUACUUUAGUUCAUGGAGCUUGUUAAAGUACCUUCAGAUAUUUUAGUUGUUUUUAAUUGUAAUGGAUAGAUUUCAUUAUAAUCUAGCAUGUUUUAUUAUUUAAUUUUUAA